GACGAAGGAUGCAAGCGUUAUCCGGAUUCAUUGGGUUUAAAGGGAGCGUAGGUGGUCUUAUAAGUCAGUGGUGAAAUCUCGCAGCUUAACUGCGAAACUGCCAUUGAUACUGUAGGACUUGAGUAUAGUUGCUGUGGGCGGAAUAUGACAUGUAGUGGUGAAAUACUUAGAGAUGUCAUAGAACACCGAUUGCGAAGGCAGCUCACAAAACUAUAACUGACACUGAGG
rnacentral:rRNA from 1 species